rnacentral:rRNA from 1 species
AAUACGUUCCCGGACCUUGUACACACCGCCCGUCAAGCCAUGGGAGUUGGGUGGACCUGAAGAUGGUAACCGCAAGGAGCCAUUUAGGGUAAAACCAGCGACUGGGGCU